CAAAUACUUGGAAAUGAAUCGACUCCCUCCCAAGUCCCAACUCUCCAACUCUCUCUUCUAUCUAUCUCUCCACUUUCUCUCCAUACAAAAACCACAAAAACCCUAAGUCCGAUUCCGACCCACAACGCCGUCGAAGCCGCCGAUUUUAGCUUGUUGGCCCUGAGGAAGAAGACGACGCAGGGAGGACGAUGACGAACCCUAGUUCUUCCGACCAUGACCGUGGAGCUCCGCCGUUCAAUUUUCCAGAAAUCGAUGAGAAUUUUGAGAGGACUAAGCACUGACAAGACCGUCCGCUUCCGCAGCCUCAAAAACCAAAGGAGAAGGGAAAGGUCGCCUCUUUUGAGGAGAGGACGAAGGCUAGACACGACCGUUCGCUUCCGCAUCCAAUUCGUCCAACUCGAAAUCACGAAGAUGGGACCUUCACUACGAGGGUGCACUACAAAGGUGUAAUUGAGGUUGAGGAAGGGCGUGGGAGGCAGUACCUGAAUGGGGAGCUGGAAUACAUUCACAAGUGUGAUCCAGACAAAUAGUCAAAGCUGGAGGUUGAUGACGUCUUGGAGAAGCUAGGGAUUGAUGUCACUAGGCUAGACUACUUCUACCUGAAGCCGAGGAUGAGCUUGGAGGACGGACUGGUGUGGCUUUUUGACAACAAGUCUGCAUUGGAGAUGGCAGAGUUGGGCGUUCAUUAUGGGGUGAUUGAUGUCUAUGCAAUUCAAGUGGGGGCUGUGGUCAUUGAUGCAACUUAUGAGGUUGUUAGUCAGAUAACUCAAGAGCAUAUUGAAAGUUCGGGUAGAGAUAAUGUAUCUAGGGAACUGUGAUUUGAAGGACGUGAAGAUGGUUUGACAGUGAGUGAAGAUGAGAGUGAGGAAAUAGAUGAUGGGUCUGGUGAAAAAAAUUAGAGGGAUGAAGUACAUUACAGUGAAGAUGAUUGCCUUGAUACUAUUGGUUUUGAUGGUGAGGAUUUGAAGGGUGAAGAUAAGAUGUCGGUAGAGGGUGAAGAUAUAGAUGAGUUAGAGGACGAGAGUUUAAGGUCUGAGGAUGAAGAGUUAGAGGAUGAGGGAGCAGUGGCCGUCAAGGGGAAGUCUAAAGCGAUUGGAAAGGCUAAAGGAAAGGGAAAUGUUAAAGGGAAGGGCAAGGUUAAAGGGAAUAGAAAGGGUAAGGCUGAGGGGACAACAUGCAAGAAGAGAAAGGGUAAAGGGAAGGAAAAAGCUGCGAGAAAGGAUAAAGACGAAGGAAAAGCUGUGGAUGAAGAUGACAAUGUGGCUGAUCCUACUUUUUGUGGAUAAUGACUAUGAUCUCAGUAACAAGGAAGAAGAUGAAAUAAUGGUUGCGCAAGUGGAGGGGUGGAAGAAUGUGGUGAACUCAAAGCGCACCAUCGGUGAUGGUUCUGGUGAUGAUGAAGACAGUGAUAAUCUUCCCAGCCACUCACCUAGCUCAGGUACGGAGCCCGAUCAUGACUUGGGCGACGGUGACAAUGAAGUUCCCUCUAUUUUGAGCCGUAGGUACAAGGCUUCCACGAUCUCAAUGAUCCAAAAUGGGAAGUAGGGAUGCGGUUCAACACAAAGCAAGAAUUCACCGAACUUGUUUGGCAUCAAGGUGUGAAGUUAGGGAAGAAGUUGAGACUAAAGAAGAACGAUAAAAUAAGGUGUAUUGCUACUGUCAAUGAGUGUUGAGAAGCAAGAAGACUAAGGCAGGCUGUCCUUGGAUGGUCAACCUUACUUAUAGGAGUGGUUUUGGUUGUUGGCAGAUUUCACAACUCUGGAAUUUUCACAAGUGUGGAGGUGCUUCAUUCAACCAUGGAUGUGCUAACGCCAAGUACCUUAGUCAAUUAUAUAAGGAGGAUAUGAGGGUCUUUCCGGGGAUGACAGUAGGGCAGUUCAUCGAGAAGGUUCGUUGUGAGAUGAAUAUCACUAUAUCUUCUGGAAAGGCGAAGCGUGCUAUGGCCCGUGCGCGAAAUCUGAUCGAGGGGGAUCUAAUCAAGCAGUACAAGAGGCUGCAUGAUUACAAGGCAGAGAUUUUGAGGGCCAAUCCCGGGAGCACCGUUGUCUUAUCGACCCAACGUUUGUCAGAUGGUAUAGAUAAGUUCAAGGCGAUAUACAUCGCCUAUGAAGCAUGCAAGACUUCCUUCAAGAAGCAUUGCAGGCGCAUCGUAGGGUUGGAAGGGUGCCAUCUCAAGGGACAAGCUAAGGGCAUAUUGCUCACUGCCAUUGGUUUAGAUCCAAAUGAUUAGAUUUUUCCCAUAGCGUUUGCUGUUGUACGGAUAGAGAACACUGACACCUGGAAUUGGUUCUUGAGGUUGCUGGUUCUGGACUUGGAGAUCAAGGACUCCAGCAAGUGGACCUUCAUUUCAGAUAGACAAAAGGGCUUAAUUAAUGUCCUGCGGACCAAAUGCGAGGAUGCUGACCAUCGGUUUUGCGUGUGGAAUAUGCACCAAAAUUUCAAGAAGACUUUCCCUUCACCAACACUCAAGGGCAAAAUCUGGAAAGCAGUCCGUGCAACGAACACGUACGCCUUUGACAAUGUCAUGGAGGAGGUGAAGGAUCUGAACUCGGCUGCAUUCAAGUGGUUUACCACCCACAUGACGAAGGAGAGUUGGAGCCGGGCUUUCUUCGGGAGAAGCCACUAUAUGGCAUGCUGGAAUGUAUCCGAAUGUACUCGAUGGACAGAUUCACCUCACGACGGAAGAUGGGAGCAAGGCUGGAUGACUGUUUUGGGCCUAAAAUAAGAAAAAAGAUUGAAAAGCUAAAGGGGAAAAUUGGGGAGUGUAUGGUGAGGGAGGCUGGUGAGUGGAUAUAUCAGGUGAACACCAAGUUUAACGAGCAAUUCGUGGUUGAUCUGAGGGACCGGACUUGCAGCUGUCGGCGUUGGAUGUUGACGGAAAUACCGUGUCAUCACGCCAUUGCUGCCAUCGAGAUGACCAACGAGAAUGUGGACUCGUUUGUAGCUAAAUGCUACUCGAAGGAGACGUUCCAAAAGGUGUACGAGCCUAUUAUCUACCCGGUUCAAGGACCACAGCUGUGGCCGAAGACUCCCUCUCCCGACGUUGUUCCCACCUGAGCUCACGCGACUGCCCAGACGCCUCCUGAAAGGAGCUAGGCAAAAAAUAGUGGAAGAGCAAGCACAAAUCCGCAAGGAUAAAAUAAAGGCAGCCCUUCGGUUUGCUGAAGUCCAGGAUGAGGAUGAUGGUGGCAAGAGAAUGUCGAGAAAGGGGUUGAUGUCGGAGUAUACGUGCGGACUUUGUGGUGAAAAAGGUCACAACAAAAGGAGAUGCCCCCAAGGCAUUCAAUUGGGUCAACCGAAAAGGCCAACAACUAGGAAGAAACGUAAUCGAGAUGAAGAACAACCAACUUGUAUGUUGUGCCACCAACCCGGCCACAAUAGGGCAACUUGCACAAGUUCGAUUGCGGACAUGUAUAAGGAUCCAGCCACUUCGGAAGUUGAUGCCUCAACAUCUGUCUCACUGAAGAAGAAGAAGUAGAAUUAAUGGAAGGGUGUUUGUCAUUGUUAUGUUGUCUAUUAGCGAAGAUGGUUGUGUUGUAAUGAAUACUCUAAAUACUUGUUUUUGUUGUUGGCUACUUGUUUGAUGAUGGUGUGUACUAGUUUUUGUAUGGUUGGUACUUGUUUUUGUAUGGUGGUUUCGACUGUGCCAGUGCCAUACAAACUUGUUUUUUGACAUCCGUUGUAAAAUGUUCAGGAUGUAUUUGAUCAUGAUUAUGAGUAUCAAGGACUAGUUUGUAGUUUAUUA